rnacentral:lncRNA from 1 species
UGCAAAGAAGUUAUAGUUAACAAUCAAAGGUAUUUACAGAACAGAUUCUGAAUGAUGUACAUUGACAAUUCGAAUACAUAUAAUAUAAAGUGGUUUACCCCAAAAAUUACACUUAAAAAAGUAAAGACAAAUGAACAAGAUCUUUUACAAUGAAACAAAUUGUUUUAAGUAUGAACAAUACAUGAAAAAUAAUAAAUAUCAACAAAAAUAUUCGACAGCAAAACGCACCAAAAAUCAACAUCCGACUUUUUCGAGUAAAAAAACGAAUAGACUUACAGUGGUAAAUAAUUUGAUGCUUACUCAAGUUUCUUUUGCUUAUAUCGUGACUAUUCUGAAUAGUUCUAAUAUUAAACGGAAUGCCACUAUAUGGAAGCACUAAAGUAUGAUUCAUGCUAAAAUCAGGGGUUAUAUUGUAAGCCUUUUGACUAUAUAAUUUCGGAUUUUGGUAUAGAAACAAUUACAGCAUCAAAUCCAAAAUAAUUGAAAUAUUUUUAAAAUCUAUUAUUGCUUCUUAAAAAAUCAGAUAUGUUUAUUUUCUUGACAUAUUUUCUGUAUUUUCUAUACUUAUUUCGUACAGAUAAACAGUUAAGUUUCGUUCCAGUUGAGCGAUUUCUGCGGACGUCACUAAAAGUAGUUAGAAAUUACGACAGUAAUCAGUUGAUAAGUUAUUUGUAUACAGUCUUGUAAGAAGUUUUAAUUUUUAUGGAAGGUAUUUCCCAUGAAAUAGAAAAUUGCUUGAAAAUAUUGAUUUUUCAUUUUGCCCAAGGACACAGAAAAGUGCUUGUUAAAAUUAUUUUCUGAGAUUUAAGUUUAUUUCAAACCAGAGGCGAUAUAUAUGAAUACACAUGUUAUAGUGAAUUUGUAGAACUAGGGAUUUUGUAUAAUCCCUGAAAUUUUCAGGGAUAUGUAUAAUCGCUAACAAUUAUAGUUCAUAAACAUAUACUUUGUACAUGUAUAUUAUAAAGAGUAAAUUAUUACCGAAUAAAACAGGAUUUCUCGGAGACAUGUGGACUGACAGUUAUUCGAAAUAUCAGAAUUUUCUUACUUCUUUAUAGAUUAUAAAUGAUGAUAUGGAAAUGUCAGACCACAAAAUGAAGAACUCUUUCCAACUAUAUUACAAGAAUACGUUUUCGAAAUUUGCGAUGCAAUAACUGGAUUAAGUAUCUUGUAAUACAUAUAAUAUAAAUGGCUGUUUUGUUUUUGAUACUGAAUUUAUAAGCAAAAAUAUUAAGCGAGCCCGCUAGGGCUGAUGAAGUCAAAAUAAAAAAGUCAGUAUCAAAAAAUAAAAUGCCAUUAUUUUUUUUAUCGGCAAUUCGUCAUAUUAUUAAAACUGUAGGGUUUUUUGGUGGAGAAUAUGAAGUAGAAUGAAAUAGUUAUUAAAACUACUUUCACGCGUACAAUACGUUGGGAUAGUUGUUCGCUUGUAUGAAUGACGUCGCGUGUAUUUCAGAAAAAACAGGACAUUGUUGGGUCAUAGUUGGUAACAGGUAAGAACUUUAUUUCAAAACACUUCCUUUCUUUUCAUUGUUUUAAAAAAAUUACAACAUUACUAAUUGGUCAAAAUUAGAAGAUAACAGCAAACAAAGUCAUUUUUCUUUAUAAACUUUAAUUUGUUUGAAGAAAAAUCUGUCUGUAAUGAAAAAAAAACAAAAAUAAAUUCCUUUCUGUUACCAUCUACUAUUCUAGAAUUGCACAAUGUUCGUUGCUGUUAUACAACAACUGGAAGUGUUUAACGACUUUGACUGGCUAUACAGCCCUCGCACGGUCGGUAAAUUUAUAGUUGCUGUUAUCAAAAGCCAAAACCAUGUCUUGUCAUUCAAAAGACAGAACAUUAUGAUGAGGAUUAGAUCAUACGAUGAUGAUAACUGAUAUAACAUACACUGCUUGGCAUAUAGUAGGUUAACUUUGUAUUUAUUUAGUAAAAUUGUCUUAAUCGUUCUUCCUGUUACUGAUUAUGGUUAUGCUGUUACUUUAGGUAAAGUAAAGUAACAGAAUGGAAUUACGCAGUACUUUUGUUCUUUUAUUUGAAAUGUCUACUUCCAUCUACAUGUCAAUUAAAAAAAAAGAUAUAAAAACACAACUUAUGGUAUAGUACUGACAUUAAAAUAUUCUCAGAAAGUACACAAAAAGGCUGUAACUGGAAAGAACAACAAAUAGUUUUCUAUUAAUUCUUUUCUUGGAUGAGUUCGGAUUUUUCAAACUUGCCGCCAUUCAACCUAUACUUGUGUAGUCAUACAUUCAGGAAAUGGUGCUCGUCUCAUUGCAUUAUAGGAAAUCAAAUGUUGUUUUUUCAAACGUUUCCACAGGUGAAAAAACACAGUGGCUCAAGGAAAUUACCCCAUGGGACACAGUUUUGAACUAUAAUGAAAUGAUUUUUUUUCAGAUAUGCUGUAGUCAUAAAAAAAAAACCAGACCAAUACGGGACAACUUUCUUAAUAUAAUCUAUCAUAUUAGUGACAACUGGAAACUUAUUUUAUUUAUUAUGAUAUUCUUUGAAUGAUUUGAUUAUCAGAAAACAACAGUGGACAAGAGAUUUUUUGGGGGUUUGAACAUUUAAAUUAUAAUAUUUUAUUUGCAAAAAUAUAAGAAGGAGUGUUAAAUUGGCAAAGGUUGAUGCAUUGUAUACUCUAGAUAAUACUGAAACUUAAAUUUUCCAAAAAGAUAACUGAAUUAAAAAAUAAUUGCCGGAGAACAAUGGGCACAAGGAAGUUAGACAUUUUCAGAUAUUGUCUCAAUUAUACAGAUAACAGGAAUCACCAAAAGUAACGACAUUACAACGUCUAUAACAGACCAUAACAACCACCAACACCCGACUGUUAAAAACAGAAACAAAGAAAGAAAGUCAUCAAAAAACAACACAUUGUGCAUAUAGCAUUACAUGCUACAUAAACAAAAUGAGGUGGUGUUAAACAAUUUGUGUGCGGAUAAAAAUACCUCUUUUCCUAUUAUCUGUACCAUAUGUCAUUUGAAGAGGCAGUAUAUUUACGAAAGUUAGGAAUCAUGCUGUAAUCAUGCAGUUAAUUUAUAGAUAUCAAUAAACAAAUAUGCUUCAUGCCAUUUUCAGAAUUCUAAUGAUUGUAAUCAAGAACAAAGGCCCUCAUUAUUAUUUGGUCAUCUGCUAGAUCAUUAAUUACGCAAAUUGAACACUCACGUCAGCUACGAAUGUUCCUUUGGUUUCUUUGUCUAUAUUUUCUCAUGUCGGGGCCUUUUAUUGAUGGCUAUACGGUAUGAGUUUUGCCCAUUAUAUUUUGAUAAAUAUAUUGUAAAUUUAUUUAAAUGUACGAUUUCUGAACUAGUGAUGUAUUUAUAGAAUUCCGUUUUGUACUGGACACUAGAUAUUCUUACGUCAGUAUUUCUGUUCAUCCGUAUGCAAGGUUUACACAAGUGCGGCAUGUAAUAAAUACAAUAACAGACCAUAGAAAAAAAACCAGCAGAAGGUCACCAACAGGUCUUCAAUGUAGCGAGAUUUUCCCCCACCCGGAGGCGUCCUUCAGCUGGCCCCAUAACACAUAUAUACUAGUUCAGAGAUAAAGUGCUUAAAUUGAGUCUUUAUUUAGACUAUUUUUAAUCUAAAAUACGAUUGACAAAGAUUAUGUACAUGUUUUAACGACAAAAAAGAUGAUUUCAGCUUUCCAAUUGUGAACUUUCCAUUUCUUAGUAGCAACAUUCCAGCAGCACCUGCAUAUGGUGUAAAUAUCUCCAAUUGAUACGAUAUCCCGUGCUUGCAUUCCUAUCAUGAUUUUGUUGAUAGAGGGUUGUUGCUCACAAGGAAGCUAUUAGAUCAAGAGUUACAAAUGGUGAAGUUGAAAUCAUCUCUUCGUAAAUUUUACGGACGCCAUCACGAGUUGGUUGACCGUUAUCAACAUAUGAUAUCGAUAUGUUCCUACGUCGUAACUACAAUCCCUUCCCUUUCAUAAAUGUGACCUACCGAAUUAGACUAUUUACCGGAUUUGUUAUCUCAUAAGCCACACGACGGGUGUCACAUAUGGAGUAGGAUCUGCUUACCCUUCCGGAGCAACUGAGAUCACCCCUAGUUUUUGAUGGGGUUCGUGUUGUUUAUUCUUUAGUUUUUCUAUGUUGUGUCAUGUGUACUAUUGUUUCUCUUUGUCCUUUCAUUUUAGCUAUGGGGUUGUCAGUUUAUUUUCGAUUUAUGAGUUUGACUGUCCCUCUGGUAUCUUUCGUCCCUCUUUUAUCAAUCCAAGAACCUUGAAAUAUUUCUACCAACGACACACAAGUCGGUAUCAAUCUCAGAAUCUGACUUUUGUUCAUUUAUAUAAAUCACAAGUUCAUGGUUUUCUCAGCCUGCAUUUAAUUCUAACAUAACUUUUGAUUUUUUAAACCUGUAUACCAUCAUUCUCCAUGUGAAAUUAUAUUUUUUUGAAUAACCAUUGAACGACAAAAUUUCUUCCUAUGUGACGUUUACAUUUUCUGACGUCAGACACGCGAAGUAAUCUUAGUAAUUUUUUUUAAUUUGAUAGAUGCUUUUUGUGCUUUUUUGUAAAAAAAAAAAAGGUUUGAUGGCUGCUGUACCCAUAUUUUCACAAUUUUAUUUAGUAUGUCUGUUUAGUUCACGCAUCGUUGUAAAUAUAACGGAAUUUGAUGAGACUGUCAUACAAGUGAGAGGUUUAGCGCUAUAAACAGGUUCAAUCCACAUUUUCUACAUUUGAAAAUGCCUGUACAAGUCAGGAAUAUGACAUUUGUUGUCCAUUCGUAUGAUGUGUUUUGUCAUUUGAUUUUUCCAUUUGAUUAGGGGCUUUCCGAUUUAAUUUUCCUCGGAGUUCAGUAUUUUUGUGAUUUUAAAUUCUUUAAGUCUUCUGUGCACGAUUUUAUCAUUUUUUACGCAAACAUAUCGUAUGAUCGUCAUUUUUUUCUCUCUGUCUGUUAUGAUGUGAAAAUAUGUCAGCCACUUAAUUGUUGUGUGUUUGAAGCCGUAGUUUACCGAUUGUCACCUUAUAGUAAACAGAAAAAAGUAUAUGUACAUAAGUUUAAUAAUCAAUCCUAUCUAUUUUGUUAUAAAAAAAAAACAUAUGCAUGUUGUUUUUUAAUUUGAGGUUUCAUGUGGUCCAAUGAGUGCCAAUGAGACAACUCUCCAUCCAAGUCACACUUUGUAAAAGUAAACCAUUAUAUGUCAAAGUAAGGCCUUCAACACGGAGCCUUGCCAACCAGCAAGCUACAAUGACUAGUGUAAAACCAUUCAAACAGGAAAAACAACGAUAUAAUCUAUAUAAAAAACGAGAAGCGAGAAACGCUGAUGAACCUCAUUAUCAAACGACAACUACUGAACAAGGUUCCUGACUUAUGACAGGUGCAAACAAAUGCAGCGAGUUUAAACGUUUCAAUAGGCACCAACCUACAGGUCCGAGUACACAGUUAUUUCGUAGUGCAUUUCUUUCAAAAAAAUCCCACCUGCGCUUUCUCAAUAAUAUUUUUAAGUGUGGUGUACUACUUUGGGCCCCAAAUUAAUCAAAAUUAUAGAAAACUUCAAUCAGCUCUACUCAAAAUAUGGACAAUUUUUUUUAAGGGGGUCUUGAAAUCUUUUGACAGCUUCCGAAGUGCUAAUUUUUUUACUUUUUCAGCUGGACCCUAUCACUACUUUACAUUAAUAUUUAUGACCCAAAUUUUUUUACAGUGUCAAUUCACCCCCACCCCCCCCCCCCCCCACCCUAACUUGGUAUAUGAGGCAUGAGAAAUAAAUUUGGAAGGGAUAUAACAAAAAUUGGCAAGUAACACACUGUCCACACUAAGGACUAUAUUCGUGGACAACGAAACAACAGUGAAACACCACAACAUAGACAGACACACUAUAAAAUAUCAAUUGAAAUGGCUUAACUCAAUCAAAAGACAUAUGUUUAAAUCUGAUGAAACAACCCCUUUUCAAUUGAUUUUUGAACACCUUUAAACUUUAAACAAAAUCAAGGUGUCGUAAAGUUGCAGCAGUAGAGGCGGACAAAUUUACUGCUUUUCAUUACCUACACAUACAUUUUAUUAAGUGUACAUUACUGAAAUAUAACAAAAAUGACUGUAUUAAAUAUCAAGAAUAGUGCCACCAAUAACAACGAAUAUUUGAAUUUUUUGCUAAGGAAUCAUACGGGAAUAUUCCUCAAAUUAGAUUAUAAAUGCAUAGUUUUUUUUCUCUCUUGGAUUGUAAAUAAACACCAUAGCGAUAGAAUUUUAACAGAAUUGAUGAUUUUAAGAGCUUUAGAAGAAACUUUAAUAAAAAAAAAAAUAAAAAAAAAAAUGUUGUAAUAAGGUGACAGACGCUUUAAUGUCUCUAUAGUAACAUCACUUGCUGUAUGUGUUACAUGUAGGUAUUGGCUCUUAUAUGUUUCCGUUGGUAAACACUUGUGUUGAUAGUUUGUUUUUAAAGCAAAAAAAAAAAGACAACCGACACAACGUACCGAUCAAAGAAUACUCGUAGAAACUAAAUGUCCUAUUUCACCAUGUAAUAAAUAGAACAGGUAUUAACAUAAAUAUCAAAUCUUUAGAAUGCAAAACCAAGUUUUUAUUGCUUGAAAGAAUAUAGAAGGUUUUUUUCUGUAGAAAAUUCUUUAAUUUGCAAAUUUAGAAGAAGUUUAAUUUUUUCUUUAAUUGCUUGCUUCAAGGCAGUAAUUCGCCGACAUAUUUUCCGUAUGCAAGUUACCUUAGCGUGACCCUUCUCGUUAAAAUCCGGUGAUCGCAAUAAUCAUGAAUCUGUCAUUAAAAUAAACUAUUAUCUGAUUGUUCAUGCUAUACACGUGCUCACUAUCCACGUUUCUUUGUUGAUUGUUCACUUUAAGGUUACAAUCGGUAAACUACGGCUUCAAAACACUGCAAUUAAUUAGCAGCCAUAUUUUUUCGUCAUAACAGUCACAGAGAGAAAAAAUUGACGAUUAUACGAUAUGUUUGCGUAAAAAAUGAUAAAAUCGUGCACAGAAGACACAGUUUGUGAUAAAUACAUGCAUUGGUUCAAGAAUUGGAUAACCAUUAUUUUUCACCAGUCACUCGUUUCAUAUGACUUUAAACUUUUCAUUAGGUCAACAUGACCAUAAUUGUCACUUGACACCUGAAGGAGCUAUAAAUAAACUCAUCCUAGAUACUAGGAUUAAAUUUUAUAUUUAUUCCAGACGCGCGUUUCGUCUACAAAAGACUCAUCAGUGACGCUCGAAUCCAAAAGGCCAAAUAAAGUACGAAGUUGAAGAGCACUGAGGAGCAAAAUUCCUAAAUGUUUUGUCAGAUACAGCUAAGGUAAUAUAUUCCUGAGGUAGAAAAGCCUUAGUAUUUCAAAAUUCAAAAGUUUUGUAAACAGUUAAUUUAUAAAUAUGACCAUAUAAAUGAUAAUUCAUGUCAGCACAGAAUUGCUGACUACUGGGCUGGUGAUCCCUUCGGGGAAUUAAAACUCCACCAGCAGUGGCAUCGACCCAGGGGUUGUAAAUAAACUCAUAAUAGAUUACAGGAUUAAAUUUUGUAUUUACUCCAGACGCGCGUUUCCUCUACAAAAGACUCAUCAGUGACGCUCGAAUCCAAAAACCCUAAAAAGGUCAAAUAAAGUAAAAGUUGAAGAGCACUGAGGACCAAAAUUCCUAAAAGUUUUGACAAGUACAGCUAAGUAAUCUGUUCCUGAGGUCGAAAAGCCUUAGUAUUUCAAAAUUCAAAAGUUUUGUAAACAGUUAAUUUAUAGAUAUGACCAUAUCAAUGAUAAUUCAUGUCAGCACAUAAGUUCUGACUACUGGGCUGGUGAUACCCUCGAGUAUAAACUUUUGCCCUUAAAAGUCAUUUUUCACAAGUUUUCGUAAUUUUUUUUAAUGUUUUACAAAAAUCUUUCUACUUGGCCAAAUGGAAUUUAACUGAGCCACAAUUAUUAUUAGAGUAUCUUGAUUUAAAAUGUAUCCGAUAACCCUGUCCUAUACAAACAACAUGGUCCCCAUCGGUAAAAAUGAAACAUAGGGGUUUCUAUAGAAGUCUAUGAAGGAAAUGUAAAAAAAAACUAUUUCAAAUGGUCAUAACUGGAAAACUAAUGUAAAUAAUAUUAAGGGUCUUCAGUAACUAUUGUAAGACUACAAUGGGAUGACUUGAUUUUUUCCCCAGGGGUGCCAUUUUUUCAGGGUGCUAAUAAUUUCUCCUCGAUAUGUUCCAUUUUCAGAAUUAUUCAGACUAAGUGUUACUUUUUCUAUAAACCAUUAUUAUAACUUUUAUUUCAGCAUUUAUAUAUUGGGUGUAUACCCCCUAGACCCGGUGGGUUAGUCGGGGUCAGGGGAACCCCUGUCCAAAUUUUUGAAGAGUGUUAAAUAUAAACAUUUAAAUAUAAAAUUAAAUGUGGAAUGCUUGCCAAUGAGACAACUCUCCACAAGAGGCCAAAUGGCAUUGAAUUAACAGCGAUAGGUCACUGUACGGCCUUCAACAAUGAGUAAUCCAUACCGCAUAGUCAGCUAUAAAAGGCCCCGCAAUCACAAAUGUAAAAUAAUUCAAACGAGAAAACUAACGGCCUAAUCAAUGUUCCAAAAAUGAACGAAAAAUAAUUAAAAAAGGCAUUAUCAGUAUUAUACAGACCCUGUUUGGAAUUUUUGUUUCAGUUUGGCAUGCUCUAAUGCUAUGCAUUUUUAUUAGCGAAGUGUAAGUGAAUUAUAUGCAUCUGAACAUUGUUACGGUUCAUAGUGUACCCCAUCUGUUUCUGUAUCUUAAAAAACGACAGAAGUUCAAAUUUAUCUUCAGUAUUUCUCAUUAAUCCGACUGUCAUGUUGUUUUAAAUUAGCUACGGUUAUUAAAUUUGUUGUAUUUAUGUUUCAGUUUAAAAUGUUUCAAUGCUUUGCUUUUAUAUGGGCCAAGUGAAAAAGAUACACCUCCAAUGGCGUUUUUGUAUGGAAAACAGGAUGGAUGUUUCCGUGCAGGAUGUGGUCCAAACUACUGCUGCUGCCUCUUAUAAUAUCCAGAUAUGUCAGUGGGAACUAUAUUCGUAAAAUAUACUUAAAAGAUCUUUGAACUUACAUAAAAUGUCAAUAUGAACAGAUAUAGAUUAAGAGCUUAAAAGCAUGUCAAAGGUUUACAGAAUCAUUGACCUGUAAAUAUCUUGUCCUAUUUUAAAAAAAAAUAGGGAAAUAGAAAUGGUUACAAUUUUAUCUUUUAAACAUUAGCAGAUUUAUUAUGUUUAUCGAGGACCCAGUAAAUAUGUUACAGUAAAUGUGUAUAAUAAGGGAUUUUGUAUAAUCAUUGGUAACUUUAGUGAUGUAUAUAUGUUGUGUACAAGUUAUCAUUUUGUACAAAACAAAUGUACACAGUGACAUUAUGAUUUGUAUUUUGACUUUGUACAAAUUACAGUUUGUACUAUAUAUAACGAAAAUUCACUUAUAACUUGUACAAUAAUUCAUUAUGUAAAUGUUGGUGAAAAAAACAUUAAGACACACCACCAUAGAAUUAUUAUUAAAUAAUCAAACAGAACACCUUAUUGACAAAGCACAAAAAAGUCGGUGCAAAACUUUUAGAAAUUUUGGUCCUCAAUGCUUUUCAACUUCGUACUUUAUUUGGCCUUUUAAACAUUUUUUGAUUCGAGCGUCAGUGAUAAGUCUUUUGUAGAAGAAACGCGAGUCUGGCGUGAAUGUAAGGUUUUAGUCCUGGUAUCUAUGAGGAGUUUAUUUCAUUCGUUUCAGUCGGUGCGUGAAGUGAUGGUAUCGGGAAUUUCAUCUUUUGACUUUGACAUUUAACUAUUCUUCAUCACUUAGCAACGGCUAAUUACUUUGGGUCAAUUGCUUUAAUAAGUUGCCAAAUCUGUACUUUAUCAUUUACACUCUUUUAGUGUUUUACUCAGUUGAUGUAGUAGUAAUAGUGUAACCAUGCCGGUAUUGUUAAUUAUAAGGAGAAAUGUGUCCAUAAUGUUCUGAACAUAGCAGGGAAUGAUUUAUAUAAGAACAAUCAUGUGUACACCAAGGACAAGCAUAGUGGAUUUUUGGUUAAAUUGGGUUUGAAACACCGAUCAUGCUUGCCAGGAAGCGUGCACUGUGUGGACAAUAGAUCCAAAACUAAUAUCUGACCAAUCAAACGAGACAGUAACUACCGAACUUGUUUUUUAAGGGUUAAUGCCAUUACACAUAUUCCUCAGUAUGAUCGUGUCCUAACAGUUCCCCGAAAUAUCCUAUGCGUAAUUUUUUAAUGUGGAGAUUUUGGGUACCAAAUUGGAACAGCUGUAUGAAUUUUAACAGGAUAUUAAUAUUGUAUGUCUAAAAGUUAAAUUGAACUCUGAAAGACACAUGUUUAUUCAUAGCAACGGUUCCUGAGCUUCAAUUUCGCUUCGUGAUGCAGUUAAACAGCCCUUAAAACAGGUUGUCCGGGAUUUCUGUCAUGUAAAUGCAUAGGUGGAUACAGCACUUCUAAAUGUAAGUGUGAUUGUCAAAAGAUGUUUUGCCAAUUCCCUCACCUGCUUUAAAAAACGAACGAUAAGGAACGAUUUAAGUAUUUGAUAAGUAAGAGUGUACUGUAUGGUCAUCUAAUAUCAAUUCUAUUGUGUGUAUCACUGCUUUACCC